rnacentral:sRNA from 1 species
CCCGACACGCCUCUUAGCAAUGCGUACCACGUCGGGU